GCUGAAUGUGGGGAUAAUUUAUCUCCGUGUUGUAGCUAACGCGUUAAGCACUCCGCCUGGGGACUACGGUCGCAAGACUAAAACUCAAAGGAAUUGACGGGGACCCGCACAAGCGGUGGAGCAUGUGGUUUAAUUCGAUGCAACGCGAAAAACCUUACCACUCCUUGACAUGGAGAUUAGAUCCUUCUUAACAGAAGGGCGCAGUUCGGCUGGAUCUCGCACAGGUGCUGCAUGGCUGUCGUCAGCUCGUGUCGUGAGAUGUUGGGUUAAGUCCCGCAACGAGCGUAACCCUCAUCCUUAGUUGCCAGCGGGUAAGCCGGGCACUUUAAGGAAACUGCCGGUGGUAAACCGGAGGAAGGUGGGGAUGAUGUCAAGUCAGCACGGCCCUUAUGGGGUGGGCUACACACGUGCUACAAUGGUGACUACAAUAGGUUGCAAUGUCGCAAGGCUGAGCUAAUCCGUAAAAGUCAUCUCAGUUCGGAUUGUCCUCUGCAACUCGAGGGCAUGAAGUCGGAAUCGCUAGUAAUCGUGGAUCAGCAUGCCACGGUGAAUACGUUCUCGGGUCUUGUACACACUGCCCGUCACGCCAUGGGAAUUGGCUUAACUCGAAGCUGGUGGGCUAACCGAAAGGAAGCAGCCAU
rnacentral:rRNA from 1 species